rnacentral:rRNA from 1 species
UACGGGGGGGGUAAGCGUUGUUCGGAAUUACUGGGCGUAAAGGGCUCGUAGGCGGCCAACUAAGUCGGACGUGAAAUCCCUCAGCUUAACUGGGGAACUGCGUCCGAUACUGGAUGGCUUGGAUUUGGGAGAGGGAUGCGGAAUUCCAGGUGUAGCGGUGAAAUGCGUAGAUAUCUGGAGGAACACCGGUGGCGAAGGCGGCAUCCUGGACCAAUAUUGACGCUGAGGAGCGAAAGCUAAGGGGAGCGAACAGG